rnacentral:rRNA from 1 species
UACGUAGGUGACUAGCGUUGUCCGGAUUUACUGGGCGUAAAGAGCGCGCAGGCGGUCGUUCAAGUCGCGUGUGAAAGCCCCCGGCUCAACUGGGGAGGGUCACGCGAUACUGAUCGACUCGAAGGCAGGAGAGGGUAGUGGAAUUCCCGGUGUAGUGGUGAAAUGCGUAGAUAUCGGGAGGAACACCAGUGGCGAAGGCGACUACCUGGCCUGUUCUUGACGCUGAGGCGCGAAAGCUAGGGGAGCAAACGGG